ACUGUGCUUUUCAACUCCAAAGAAAUCCCAUAGCUCAAGAUUAUUUCUUCCACUUGAAUAAAGAAAUCUUCAAAAAUCAUCUUCAGCAAAUCUUCAUAUUGAAGAUCUUCUUCUAAAUUAAUAAACGAUGCAGUCAUAUUCUUAUCCACAACAAACUCCCACAAGAAAACAUUUUACAAAUUCUGGAUGACUUCACAAAACCAAAAAAUUAAAAAAAUGUUAUAGAUGUUGGAAAGCAUUUGUAAUUUUUUGGAUGGGCUUCCAGAAAAAUGUAUUAGUGUAUUUCUAUCUAGCAAAGUUUAAACGAUGUAUAAAACUACAUCAGUUAGUGUAGAAACAUAAAUGAAGUUUUGAGAGUAUCAGAAGUUUCAGCUGCCUUGAAGCAUUUUCAUGAAUUUUAUUAAGAAAAUCUUAAUGUGAUACUAUUAUAAGGCAUAUAUGUUAUCUACGAUAUCCAUCAAAAUAUUUUAAAGGCAAAGUAUUAAUCUUACAUCUGUUCCAUAGAGUAAUAACGAUCACAAAGGAAAAUGAUUACUUUCUUGGAGCUGAUGAGGGUCUCUCAUCUUUGUAUAUGUUCUGCUGAUACACUUUGUCUCUAAAAAGAACCAAUCUCUCGUCACAACAGAAUCGCAAUAUCUCUCUUAAGUUAGCUUCACUGAGACACUGACCAGACGGGUUUCUGGGGUUAAUGAUCACCAUUGCCCUUACCUGUCAUUAACCAUGUGUCUUAACCAAUAAAGAAGCUUCUAUAUCAACAGUUCUACUCACUUUUAUUCCUUGAGAACGAGCCUGAGCAACAAAAAGCUUCUUCCUUUUUUUGGGUUUUCCUUUGCUUAAGUGUUUUAGUUGGUGAAGCCGGAGUAUCUAGCUUCUUCGUUUUCUCAUAUUUGGACUUCAUUUCUUCUUCUUCUUCUUCUUUUUCAGUUUCAUCUCUGUUAGUUUCCUCUGCAGCUUGUUUCCGGUAGGACCAAGAACUGAUCGGAACUCCUGCUCACCGGAAUCAGGACGGAACCGGCAUUGACCAGAUUCUCACCUGAAAGAAUAUGCUUCGAUAUCCACAAAACCAACAAUGAAUAUACUAAAUUUGCUAAUUUCAAAACAUGUUUAGAGAGUGUAGUAUUGAAAAAUCGGCAUUUUAACAGCACCACUUUAAGGAUUUUUCUAGCAAACCAAACCAAUUUGCUUACAUGUGUUCACGAGAAAAGCAGUGAUAUAAACAAUGAGAGAAAGUGAUGAAAUCAUAGAGAAUAGACUUGGAACUGUGAAGAUAACAACACCCUUUUGACUUUGGAAAACCCAGAAAAAUGAAGCUUUCUGAUCAAGAGAGAACCUCUGAUUGCAUACUGAUAUUUCUUCACGUCUCCGUUGAGGGAUUCGUAGUCUACUAGUUUUUGAGAGACAUUUUCAGAAUUGACUUUUCACACAAAUAGCAAACACGCUUAGCUCGAUUACGGAGUGAAGGCGGAUAUGAUUAAAGUGGUGAUGAUGGUGAUGGAGAUGAGUGGCGCCAGAGAUGAUGACGGACGAGAUAAUCGCCAAGAUGAUCGACACCGGAGAUAAUGAUGACCAAGAUGAUCGACGCCGGAGAUGACGCAAGCUGUCAUCGUCGAUUUCGUGAUUUCAAUUUUCAGAAAAAAUGUAAUUAGAGAAAGAAAUGGGUAAAAUGGUAAAUGUCCAUAUUAAAUGAAACAUUUAUAAUUUAAGUUAUAUAAUUUUCAUUAUUUUAUAUAUAUUUUACAAUUUAUUUAUUUAUUUUAUAUUCAUUUUUUAAUUUUUUUUUUUAAUGUUUUUUUUUAAUUUUGUGGGUUGGCGGGUACCCGCGACUCAAAUUCGGCCGACACGCACCCGUCCCGCUUAAAAUCGACUCAACCCGCACCCGCAUAUUGAAAUUGUGAAUCGGUUGACCCGCACCCGUCCCGCGACGGGUCAAACGGGGCGGUCCCCGCGGGUAAUGACCCAAAUUCCCAGCUCUACUUGAAAUCUAGAAUGGGAAGAAAAAAUGGAUAUAGGGUUAUCUAAGACUAUUUCUCUCUUCUUUUUUCAAUGUAAUCUUAAUUAUAGAAUAUAUUUGAAAAGUUGUUUGUUGUUUAAAUUUAGGCCAUUAUAUUAAAUUUUACAAUACUUUUAGGUUGUUUAAUUUUGUUAAGUAGUUUUUUGAACUAUUUUAUUAAAUAGUUUAAUCAAUUAACGUUGAUAUUAACCUACCAACUAUGAUUUUAUGCCACAUUAAAUAUAAUUUUAUCUUCUUUUUUUGACAAUAAAAGCUUCAUAUUUCAUUAAACUGGUUCGAGAGGGUUAGACUGAACUAAACGCGGAUGAACCAAAAUGUUUACAUGGGAGAAUUCAGAGUUUUUCAUACGAGCAUCCUUAGCAAGGAGAUCCGCACGAGAAUUGAACUCACGAUGAAUAAAAGAAAGGGGAAAUAAAGUAAACAAAGAACGGAGAUGAAAGAAUUCAUCUAAUUUUGAAGCCAAGGAUGGCCAAUAUUCUUCUUCUUCGAUCAGCUUAACCAUUUGCAGGCAGUCCGAUUCGACAUGCAUAGAUUCUUGCCCCAAUCGGAGAGAAUUACCCAUUGCCCAUAGCAGGGACUGGAACUCCGCGUGAAUGGGAGAGAGGACUUGAUUUCUCCCAAAGGAACCCGAGAUUUAGUUCCCGUCUUCUUGGUCUAGAACAAAACCCCCGCCGAAAGUAGCUUGGUUGGUCGCCCAAGAUGCAUCCACUUGACAUCUCAGUUUGUGCGACUCCAGCAUCUCCUCUCGGUUUACCAUUGCUGUGCGCUCUCGAGCCUUUCCUGCCGAUACGACCUCUUGCGCAACGCACCACUCUUCGCAUUCUUGGCUGGCCUUUUGUAGAGAAUCCAAAGGCGAGAUCUCUACUCCAUUGAACAGCUUAUCAUUCCUUGCUUUCCAUAAGUACCAUACGAUCCAUGGGAACUUGAUAAGCCUUAGCGUUGAGAUGCCCUUUGCAGUGGCUCGAAACAUAAGGAAAUCAAAGUUCUCAAGGAGUGACUUACUCGGGAAUUAUCCCGGAAUUGAUGGGAUAUCCGACAGCGCCCACGUCUGCACCGUCGGAGGACAUUCGAAGAGGAGGUGGUUUAUUGUUUCCUCUUCUCCUCCGCACCUAGGACACGCCCGUUUGUUUCCACAGUGCCGUUCAGCCAGUCGGCUGCAUACCGCGACGCACCCUGUUAAGCAUUGCCAUAGAAAGUGUUUAAUCUUCCUGGGAGCUUUCAGUUUCCACACCUUAGAUAGUAAGGGAUUGAUACUUGGUUCCAGCACUUGUUUAUCUAAAGAGUUAAGAAGACUAAAACGCCAUUAACAAAGAUUUUAAAAUAAGCUUUAGGUUUAACGGCAAAUUGUGUGGAAAGACCCUUUAACCAUUCUUUUUAAUGAACGUUCCUUUUUAAUACUUAGUUACAAAAUUACCGUUUUAAUUUAAUUACGUUAGCGUAUUGAAACAGAAAAGAAAUAAAAUCAUGUUUCUUUAUUAUUCUCAUCAAAGCAAAAGCAGGGGUUUCUCAUCCUUCAUCGUUGUCGGUUCCUUCUGAGGGUGUAGAGAGUUGAGGCUCGAUUUCGUCAUUCCUCGGACGAUCGCCGAUUUCACCGGCGUGGGAAGCCCCAGUUCCACCGUUGAUGAGCAUAGAUUCUGCCUCCGACAAGCUUAGGGUUACUGAGCCGUCUGUAUGUUGAGUGAGGAAGGGCACAACCCGCAUCAGUUGCUCUUGGAAAGGCUGCUCGUUAAAUUUCCUGUUGACGUCUUUUAUAAUCAAGAAAUUUGAUUUCAUCUUUUCCAUUAUGUAUGUGAUUUGAAUCUGACGUCUUUGAUGUGUUUUGAGCGUGACGUCUCAAACUAUACACGUCUAUGCUUGUGAAAUUCUUGAAGAAGAUGGGAGGGAGCAAAUGGCCUUUGAUCUGUACUGUGCUUGUGCUAGUGGUUACAUAAAUCUCGAGAAGAUUGAUGCGUUUCUGAAAAUGAUCAGAACGGAACUGCUAGCAGGUUGUUCACAGUCUAUAAUGAAAGCUACAUCGAUCAAAUCAAGAAAGUGCAAGUUCAGAUGAAUGCUGGUGAAGAUCUCGACUAGGAUGAUCUCAUUCAAAGAUUCUCCUCUUUGUAAAGAUUAAGACUCCUACACUUUGCUUAUGUUCAAGCCAGAGUACUUAAAGAAAGUUAUCAUUUUGGUCCGAUCCUUGGUUAUGUAAAUGAUUUGAUUAUAAAGGCUCUGAAUUCAAUUUUGUGCUU